rnacentral:lncRNA from 1 species
UUUUUGUUUUGUGCUAAGUCAAAAAAUUUUAAUAUUGAACAUGUUUUAUACAAAUAUAUUAACACCCACAAUAUCAAAUAAGUGCACUAUCACGACAUUUCAUGGUGGAACUAAUGAAACUAAUUUAAUAUGGCCAAAGUUAGAGAAAUUUAACAUAGGAAAAAACUAUAAUAACCUGCAUUUUGAAAUGGAGGAAGUACAUCAUAACUGGAAGGCGUAUUGCACCUUAAGUACAUGGUGACAUUUUCACGCUCAUAUAACUUUAUUGUAUUUAUCUGCUGAUCUAAUAAGAUAUUGCAGCACUAGAACAAAGGAUAAGCUUGAACAUAUAAGCAAAGAAGUCAUUUUAAAGCAUUUAAUAACUUGACUUCACAUAACAGUUUGUUAACUUCUUUAUUAAUUUCAUUUCUUUUCUUUUUUUGAAAAUAAAUUUCAUUUCAUUUCUAGGAGAUGGCCCAUAUUAACAUCAUAGCAUGGCAACAUGCCAUGUGAUUGGAGAAUAGCACUGCAGUAAUCACCAGUUCACCACCCUUCUGUAUACACAUUUUUUUUGCAGGGACGAAAAGGAAAAUAACAUCAACAGGUUUAGUUUACAUCACAUUAAACAUCUCUACAGCCUUAUGAGAAGAAGUCAAUCUUUAUAAAUGCUACCUCUGCUAUGUCAACUAGACAAACUAAUCAUCCUCGCUGCGCACUGAGGCAAAGAUGCGCUUUCACAGGCUUGUGAUCGGAGCUCCUAACACAGUCGAGGGAUUCAUAUGAGCUUAAUACUGCAUCCAAGCCUGAAGAAUGGUCGACCUUGAACAAUAUCCUGUCUGUCCAAGAAGGCACUCUUACCUGCAGAAGUGAAGAUCACAAGCAUAACACGUAAGAUUUUCAAAAGCUUCGGUUGGUUCAGUCUGCAACUUGGCAUCUGGAAGUGAUGUUAAUUCAAGAUACCUUAUGACUUGUAUCGUAGAUGCUACUUCCGACAUCGUACUUGUAUGUUGGCUUAAACGACAGGGUUCCUUCGUAGUAUCCAUUGAACACUUCGCCCUUUUCAGCUUCUUGAAGAAGCUGAUCUUUGCCUCUUAGCUUCUGAAACAAGACAUAAAUGUGAGGCACUGCUACAGUCUGAAUUCUGAAAACUGGCUAGUGCCAACGAACACUUACACUCUGACGAUUCUCCUCAAUCAUCUUCCUUGCAGGUAUCGAGCUUAUUCCUUCGAGUCUAUAAUUGAGAUCACCGAGCCACACUGUUAUGUCUGCGGAUUGGGCAUACGGUUUACCGUACUUGGAGAAGAGUGAGCGUGAAAUAUGCUGGAAUUCUGAGUUCCUCUUCUCCACCUUGUGUUCAUGAGCUACACUUUAAUAAUACCAUGUCACUUCAUAAUGGCGCUUGAUUAAAAUUGACAGCUAUGUCAUCCUACAUCAUAGACUCAUAGUAUAUUUGAAUCUGUGUUGAUUUUAGUAUCAGAAUAUGAGAAACUGCAAGACUUAGCAUCUGAAUCCCUGAAAACUCUUCUACAAUCAUAUUUUCAUUGUCUGAAGUUGUAUAGCACUUGGUCUGAUACUCUGAUACUUAGAGCAUUGUAGUAAUGUAUUGGUAUGAAUUUUAGUAAACACAAGUGAAAUUGACAAAAGCAUAAACCUGAAAUUGAAAACCAACCUGCAAGAUGGCAGACCACAAAAACCAUCCGGAUCCCACUGAAGUUGAUGUACAUGGCCACAGCUCCUUUCUUUCUCCCAAUCAUACCCCCAAAACCUCCAACUGCAUGUUUGUCCACCUUCAUCUCUGUCCAAAAUUAGAAAAGCACGUUUAUAAACCUUCACCUCUAUUCAGAAUUAGGAAACUAGUUUGAAGAAAGAGGAAACAUGCAAUUGGCAUCAAGCAAUUUGGGAUAAAUAUGAUAAGAAAAGAUUUAGAAUCACCUCCGAUGUACUUCUCCGAACUCUUUGAUCCGAAAAGAAGCAUCUGAAGAGACUGCAUGCUUUUCUGACCUAAUAGACUGAAAAUUAAUGUGCAUCAAACAAUUUCAGAAUACUGCAAAAGGCUAUAGUGUGUUCAAUAGCACAGAUAAGACUGGGGAGUUUCUUACAUGUGUGUGUCGGCCAUGGUUUCUUGCAGAACUUGCGAAACAUCACAUUUUGGUGCCUCUUGCAGUCCAACAACUAGCAAAUCAAACUUUCUGUUGGAUCUUACCAAUUUUGUUAUAUCUUCCACAGACAUCUUCACCACCAGAACACACACCAAAUCAAUGUGAUUGGCCAAAUCAUCAUGAAAAAGAAAGCAAUCGAGUUACAAGUAUAUACCUUGCCAUUCAUGUUCCAUGUGAUGAUACACACACAGAGCACAGAGUUGGUGGUGAAUUCACAACCUUUCUGAAUUGGAAUUGUCUUUAUGCCAUCGUGAGUCCCAUCCUCAUCAGUAGAAACCAGGCUGUUAUUCUGUAGCUGGCUUCUCCUGUAAUGUUACAAGUAUCAAGAAGUGCAAGAGAAUCAUACGAAAAGCAACUUUUAGAAGUUCAGAUAAAAUACCAUGUUGGAAGAGUAAGGCUGCUGCAGUUUCCCAUAUCGACGUACUGAAUCCUUGUUUCUGAUCAUCUAACGUGGAGAGGACAACAAAGGAACCCUUUUUAUACAACUAUACUCUGAAACUUCAAAGGUUCCAGCCACAGAGAGAAUCAAUUGGGUUUGGAUAUGGAUACUCUUAGCCUCCAAAUUUCUUUGAGCAAUUUAUUUGGAUCUUCCAUGUGCUCUUGAAAAUUUCAACACACAUUACGAAAUAGCGACAAGUGGAAUACCGAAGAACCAACCAUUUGGGCCAGCUGGAUUUGAUAGUUAGGUACUGCAUAUCUUUGAUGUGACAAUGAGACCUCAUUUGUCUUCCCAUCAUUAGCAGGCGGCUACAGCGGUCCGUGUAUUAGGGGAAAUGUUGAAAGGGACUCCACGCAGGAAUGGAACCACCCAAGUUGCUAUCAAUAGUUUGGACACUUGGUGCUAAGGCAAACAUUUUCUCAGCAAGUAACCAUGGUGGCCAUGGACUUUUAAUGGAGAAAGUGUGUUCCGGAACACGCUGGACCUUCCCGAAAUUUCACAACUCCACCAAAAUUCCAUCGCUAGCUGUACAAGCUGAAUUGUAGGCAUCUGCAGGAAAAAGAUCAGUAUUGCAAGCAACAUCGUCCAUGAAAGUUAUCCAUCGAUGUCUUGCUAAUGAACAUUAUGAAUUUGACUCGAUUUUAGCAGGAUUUCAGUUAAUUUUGGUAAUGCAAGAGUUGAUCAAGAUUUCUAGGACUUGAGAAGGCCUUGGCCCUUGGCAGUUGCAACUAGCUAUCUAUCAGCAGCCCAUCAACUGAAAAGAAGGUCUUGAUAGCAACAUGUAUCCAUGCUCAUCAAAAGUAAGCAUCAGAACCAUCCGGUCCCUUGUUGGAUCAUGUGCCGAUCAAAUGGUCAGUGGACGUGCUGGAAUCAACAGUUCCUUGCGGGAUGAGGUUUUCCAAUCAAACGAGCAGCCGCUGCUGCAAUUUUCUGAUGGGGCUGGCUGUUGCCAAACUUUCUUGCUGCAAGAGAAGCAAAGUGGUGUUCUUGGGUAGUUGGGUUGACGACGCAUCAACAGAAGACGUAUUGAGAGUGGCAGGAUGGCAUAUCAGGCACGUGAUUGCAACUGGAAAACCACCAGCCCCAGUGCCCAACUCCAUCCUCUCGAAUCUGCACGCGGCCGACAUCACCUUACUUGAAACUACACCCAAAAUUGCAGCCAUUCUCAGUUGAAAACUAAGCAAAUCUGCACGGUCAACUCUCGUACGCGACGAGAGCGUCUACGUGAUGACCGACGAAAACCGUUGGCGGAGACGUAUACGUACGGUACGACACCAUCGACGACCGGAACAGGCCGCCCCGUCGCGCUUCAUCGGUCACGUUCUCUGUUCGCGAGUCGCCGCCGAUCCGGCCGGACCAAGCGACGUCGAUUGGCCUAAGCACGCCACGCCUCGCUAGCUCCAGUCCCGUGACCUCGAGCUCCGAAACAAACGUGGUAGGAUGGCAACAGCUGAGUUGGGGGCAACAUGGCAACUCCCGGUGAAAUAUGACUAGAUCAUACAGCCACGCAAAACAGAAUACAGGUCUCGGAAAACACCAAAGCUAACAGCUACGUGUACCGUCCCUGACUUUCACGAACACACAAAAGAGUUCAAGCAAGCACUGUGGUCACUGGAUCCAUGUUUUCUGUGGUACAUAGAAACUCAAUGCUGGGCAUAACUUUGCAGAGACGACCGCCUCAUUCCAGUAGCACCUAACAGCAAUAGCAAAACACG